UACGAAGGGGGCGAGCGUUGUUCGGAUUUACUGGGCGUAAAGGGCGCGUAGGCGGCCCUCCUUGUCGCGUGUGAAAGCCCCGGGCUCAACCUGGGAAUUGCAUUUGAGACUGCGUAGCUAGGGUGCGGAAGAGGGAAGCGGAAUUUCCGGUGUAGCGGUGAAAUGCGUAGAUAUCGGGAGGAACACCUGAGGCGAAGGCGGGCUACUGGGCCGAUACUGACGCUGAUGCGCGAAAGCCAGGGGGGCGAACGGG
rnacentral:rRNA from 1 species